UCUCCCAGAGUGCCAGCAGCCAUGCAGC
rnacentral:sRNA from 1 species